UCAUGAACCUUCUUCUUUCUUUUUUCAAGAAACUAAUUUUUUUUUUUUUAAACUAAACCCUUAUCAGCUUUAGACAUUAAAAAUAAAUAAAUAAAAAACCUUACUAACGUCUCCCAUUUUCCCAGCCGCACACAGUUAUCUCUCUCUGUUUUUUCCUCUAGAUCUUCUUUCUACCUCUUUACCCAUGGCCGCUCUCUCAGCUUCUUCUUCCUCUUAUCAUCUUUGCCCAUAUACUGAUUUCAUCAAAAUCCAACAAUGUGUAACCGAAGCUUCUGUAUUCGGUCCCUCGAUCGAUUCAUCUAGAUGUCACAUAGAAGCCAUGAAUCAAAAAGAGAGUCCGACGGUCUUCCCUCCUUCUCAGAACCGAAGCAAGGGCUACCUCGUCAAUUUUAGGUUUUGGCCAAUUGUGGAUUGAUUAAAGCAAGGUACUUCCUCAAAAUCUGUGGACAACUAAUUUCUUUUAAAUGUUUGAUUGUGCUGAUAUAGCUAGUAUAUAAUUUAGAUUCUCUGUAGUCUGAAUAAAAGAAAAAGCUUUCACAGAAGCAUUGCUGCCUUGACUCAACCUCAGAAUGAAUGGAGUAUACCAUUUGAGCUUGAGGUGUUAUCUGGGAAAAGAAGAGAUGGUGAAAUUUAGAGCAGCAUGGGUUAUAUCAAGAAGAAACUCGUACUUAGUUCAGGUGAUGCUGUGCUGUAAAAGAAAAUGUAUAUGUUUGUGGUAUAAGACAAUUGUGUAUUCAUUUUGAAUACUUUUGACUGUUGUAUAAAAAAUAAUGUAUUCAUCUGUGAUAUAAAUGAAUAAUGUAUUUAUUUUUUAAUACAAGAAAUUGUCAUACAUGGGUCCCAUGAU